rnacentral:sRNA from 1 species
GUUCUCCUGGCGCGUCCUGAAGCUGCAGGUGUUUCCUCCCUUGCCUGUAGUGAUGCGCCCGCCUAGCCUCGCUCGCUGCACCAGCUGAGCGGGGCAUCUU